GAUGAACGCUAGCGGCAGGCUUAACACAUGCAAGUCGAGGGGUAGAGGUUGCUUGCAACCUUGAGACCGGCGCACGGGUGCGUAACGCGUAUGCAACCUACCUUUUACAGAGGGAUAGCCCAGAGAAAUUUGGAUUAAUACCUCAUAGUAUAUAACCUUCGCAUGUUGGUUAUAUUAAAGUUCCAACGGUAAAAGAUGGGCAUGCGUCCUAUUAGCUAGAUGGUAAGGUAACGGCUUACCAUGGCUACGAUAGGUAGGGGUCCUGAGAGGGAAGUCCCCCACACUGGUACUGAGACACGGACCAGACUCCUACGGGAGGCAGCAGUGAGGAAUAUUGGACAAUGGGCGCAAGCCUGAUCCAGCCAUGCCGCGUGCAGGAAGACGGUCCUAUGGAUUGUAAACUGCUUUUGUACGGGAAGAAACACUCCUACGUGUAGGAGCUUGUCGGUACCGUAAGAAUAAGGAUCGGCUAACUCCGUGCCAGCCGCCGCAGUAACAC
rnacentral:rRNA from 1 species